ensembl:lncRNA
GAGCAUACCUUUAUUUUCUCCAUUACUAAGUUUUUUGAGGAAGAGCUUGACUUCUGUAUCUGAAUCAGUGUUGCGGACCUCACCGUGCCUAGCACUGUAUUUUGUCCACAGUCAGUAGGUACCACAUAAAAGUUGGAAAAAAUGAUGCAAGUCAAGUCCUGGCUCUACUAGUUACUAGUUGCGUGACUACUGGAAAAGGCAGUCAUGUGCACCCUGCCUUUCGACCCCUGCAUGGUUCCAUAAAGAUGUACCUUGGGCCGGCACAUUUCCUAGCAAGGAAAUAAGGAGCCCUCACAACCUGAGCUGGCCACAUCUCUUUGUUUGGGAAUCCCUUUCCCUGUUCAGACCUUGAUGUGCAAAUUGUUGUUGUACUUAAGUGUGUGUGUCCUAUGGCAGUCAGUCAACUCCACUGCUCUAUCUGUUACCGGCAAGGAGGGAACAGAGUUCUUUGCCUGCAGCAUGAUAGAGGUAUGUGCAGACCCUCUUCCUGCAUCAGCCAGAGCAAGACUCACCGCCACUGUGGACUGAUGCUCCCUAUUGAAGCUAAUCUCACUCUGUUUAUUUUCCAUGUGUUAAAGCAUCUCUCCAUCAGUGUCUGUGUGAGUCAUGUCUUCCUUGGUGACCCUGAUGCCUGCAAACCCUGUAGCAGGUUGACAUUCUGGGACUGUUGCUCCUGGUGCGUCUCUCAAAGCACGGAGGUCCCCGAGUUCGGUCCAACAUGCGCUGCUUUCUCGGGGUGGGUCUAGUGGCGGAGGUUGGACCCACCCCCUGCCUCAUGCUUCCUAGCUGGCCUGCCUGGAACUCACAGUGCUUUCCCAAUGGAAGAGCCCCGGCAAACCGCUCUUCAGAGGGUGAGGAGCUGCAGAAGGAGGAAGAGGAAGCCCAAGCUGCUUUGGUUGGGCUUCUUAAGCAUAAUCCUCAAUUGUUCUAUUUCUGCAUAUAUGAAAUGGGAAUUAUGCUCACUGCCCUGCCCCAUUUAUGGGGUGGCUCUUCUUAGACUGGAAUAAGAACAUUUUGGAGAAACUUAUGCACUGUAAAGAGAUAUUAAGAUGAUUAGAAUUUAUUUGAGCUCAUCACUUCUUACUUUCCUCUUCCUAUCUCAGGCUUUGCACUCUCAGGAAAUAGCUAAAACUCUAAUAACCUUACGAGAUUAUUUGUGAAUGGUUCUGGAAAAAUGGACGUUAAUAUAAACCUUUGGACUAAACCAUAGGUUGAGGGAUUUUUCUUUUCCUUUUAUUGUGCCCACAUGUAAGGGAAGUUGUCUAGGUCUUGACUUCAUUUUCCUUAUUUCUCAAAAUCAAGCUUUUAGGUCUUGAGAGUUAAAAGCGUGCUCUUUUGGCAGCAGUAUUUCAUAAAACAAUAAUUCAAUGAAAUAUUUGUCACAUUAGGCACUUAUUAAACACUCCCACUAUGCCAGACCCAUGCCUUGCACUGCAGCAGACAUAAUGUGAAUAAAAUACCUUUUAAAAAGUAGGAAAUCCUUCUCGAAAAAAGUUGGAAAUCCUUCUUUUUUUUCUUUCUUUUUUUUUUUUAAUGAGAUGGAGUUUCGCUCUUGUUGCCCAGGCUGGAGUGCAAUGGCACAAUCUAAGCUCACUUAACCUCCGCCUCCCGGGUUCAAGAGAUUCUCCUGCCUCAGCCUCCCCAGUAGCUGGGAUUACAGGCAUGCACCACCACACCCAGCUAAUUUUUUGUAUUUUUAGUAGAGAUGGGGUUUCACCGUGUUGGUCAGGCUGGUCUCAAACUCCUGACCUCAGGUGAUCUACCUGCCUUGGCCUCCCAAAGUGCUGGGAUUACAGGCCUUUUUUAACUGCCAGCUAAGUUUACUUUUUAAAAAAGGAUUUAGGCAAAGGCAAAUUAUUUAAGCAAAGAGUGUAUGGUGCCUAAAGAACUCUUGGUAACUAUUUAUAGUGCACCUUUGUCAACCAGGGACACAACAAGCACACCUGCGCCUCAAGUAUUUUCUAAGCACAGCAUGGGGCUGUGAGAGGAGCUAAGUAUGGGAGUCACAUAGACAUGGAUUUAAAUCCCAAGUCUCCCACCCACCUAAAUCUAGGCUCAGAUAAGUUACUCAACCUCUUUGAACUUUAGCUUUUUCACAUACCAAAUGAAGAUACAGAAGUCCCCCAUUAUUACAAAAGCAUAUGUUCCAAGACCCCUGUGAAUGCCUGAAACUGCGGGCAGCACUAAACCCUAUAUAUGCCAUGUUUUUUUUUUUUUUUUUUUCCUGUGUAGCCAUGUGAGGAUGGGGACAAAUUCUGAGAAAUGCAUUGUUAGGUGAUUUCUUCACUGUGUGAACAUCAUAGAGUGUACUUCCACAAACCUAGAUGGAAUAGCCUACCACACACCCAGGCUAUGUGAUAUAGCCUGUUACACACCCAAGGUAUAUGGUAUAGCCUAUUGCUCCAAGGCUACAAACCUGUACAACAUGUUAUUGUAUGGAAUACUGUUGGC